GAUGAACGCUGGCGGCGUGCCUAAUACAUGCAAGUCGAGCGAACAGACGAGGAGCUUGCUCCUCUGACGUUAGCGGCGGACGGGUGAGUAACACGUGGAUAACCUACCUAUAAGACUGGGAUAACUUCGGGAAACCGGAGCUAAUACCGGAUAAUAUAUUGAACCGCAUGGUUCAAUAGUGAAAGACGGUUUUGCUGUCACUUAUAGAUGGAUCCGCGCCGCAUUAGCUAGUUGGUAAGGUAACGGCUUACCAAGGCGACGAUGCGUAGCCGACCUGAGAGGGUGAUCGGCCACACUGGAACUGAGACACGGUCCAGACUCCUACGGGAGGCAGCAGUAGGGAAUCUUCCGCAAUGGGCGAAAGCCUGACGGAACAACGCCGCGUGAGUGAUGAAGGUCUUCGGAUCGUAAAACUCUGUUAUUAGGGAAGAACAAAUUUGUAAGUAACUAUGCACGUCUUGACGGUACCUAAUCAGAAAGCCACGGCUAACUACGUG
rnacentral:rRNA from 1 species